rnacentral:tRNA from 1 species
AGGGUUAUAGUUAAUUAUAACAUUUGAUUUGCAUUCAAAAAGUAUUGAUAUAUCAAUUUUCCUUA